CCUACGGGUGGCAGCAGUCGAGAAUCAUUCACAAUGGGGGAAACCCUGAUGGUGCGACGCCGCGUGGGGGAAUGAAGGUCUUCGGAUUGUAAACCCUUGUCAUGUGGGAGCAAAUUAAAAAGAUAGUACCACAAGAGGAAGCGACGGCUAACUCUGUGGCAGCAGCCGCGGGAAUACAGAGGUCUCAAGCGUUGUUCGGAAUCACUGGGCGUAAAGCGUGCGUAGGCUGUUUCGUAAGUCGUGUGUGAAGGGCGCGGGCUCAACCCGCGGACGGCACAUGAUACUGCGAGGCUAGAGUAAUGGAGGGGGAACCGGAAUUCUCGGUGUAGCAGUGAAAUGCGUAGAUAUCGAGAGGAACACUCGUGGCGAAGGCGGGUUCCUGGACAUUAACUGACGCUGAGGCACGAAGGCCAGGGGAGCGAAAGGGAUUAGAUACCCGGGUAGUC
rnacentral:rRNA from 1 species